AACACUCCCAGUGGAUGAUUCCGAGGCUAAAACUAGGCUCGUGGGCGGAGCUCCGAGUGGAGGGCGGGACCCAUGCCCGGAAGUGAUGGGGAGGCGAGAAGAGGCGCACUCCCGAGUUUAGGGGUCAGAAGGCAGAGGCGUCCAAAUGGAUGGUACUCGAAAGCUUUUGUACCUGUCUGUUCUCAGCUCCCUGGAGCCCUUAGUCUCCUAUAUUGAUAAACCUGUCAACCCGAGAUAUGGUCUAUCUCCUCUAUUCAAUCAAUCUCAUAUUUAACGUUUAUUUUUGCCUUCUUUGUAUGAAGUUAGGACACCGUGCUAAACUUAAAUUAUUGACUCCUUUGAGUAUUCUAAGUAGUGACAUUUUCCUGUAACCUUUGUAUAUAUUGUGUUCAAGUAUGUAUUUCGAUUUUUUAUUUUUUCGAUCUUACCAUACCGUCUAGGGCCUCCUAGCUGAGAAACAGCUCUGAUAACCAGGCCUUCUUCACUCAUUCAGAAAUAGUUCUGUUUUCUCCUUAAUCAU
rnacentral:lncRNA from 1 species